rnacentral:rRNA from 1 species
CGUUGAUUACGUCCCUGCCCUUUGUACACACCGCCCGUCGCUACUACCGAUUGAAUGAUCCAGUGAGGCGUUCGGACUGGCCCAGAAAGAUUGGCAACACUCAUCUAGGGCCGGAAAGUUCUCCAAACUUGGUCAUUUAGAGGAAGUAAAAGUCGUAACAAGG